rnacentral:rRNA from 1 species
CCUACGGGGGGCAGCAGUGGGGAAUAUUGGACAAUGGGCGAAAGCCUGAUCCAGCCAUGCCGCGUGUGUGAAGAAGGCCUUCGGGUUGUAAAGCACUUUCAGUGGGGAAGAAAGCCUUGGGGCUAAUACCCUCGAGGAAGGACAUCACCCACAGAAGAAGCACCGGCUAACUCCGUGCCACCAGCCGCGGUAAUACGGAGGGUGCGAGCGUUAAUCGGAAUUACUGGGCGUAAAGCGCGCGUAGGCGGUCUGAUAAGCCGGUUGUGAAAGCCCCGGGCUCAACCUGGGAACGGCAUCCGGAACUGUCAGGCUAGAGUGCAGGAGAGGAAGGUAGAAUUCCCGGUGUAGCGGUGAAAUGCGUAGAGAUCGGGAGGAAUACCAGUGGCGAAGGCGGCCUUCUGGACUGACACUGACGCUGAGGUGCGAAAGCGUGGGUAGCAAACAGGAUUAGAUACCCGUGUAGUC